rnacentral:rRNA from 1 species
UACGUAGGAGGCUAACGUUAUUCGGAUUUACUGGGCGUAAAGCGCACGCAGGCGGAAUUGUAAGUCCGUUGUAAAAUUCAGAGGCUCAACCUCUGUCUGUCGGCGGAUACUGCAAAUCUAGAGUAUGUGAGAGGGAAGUGGAAUUCCUGGUGUAGCGGUGAAAUGCGUAGAUAUCAGGAGGAACUCCGGUGGCGAAGGCGACUUCCUGGCACAAGACUGACGCUCAUGUGCGAAAGCUAGGGUAGCGAACGGGAUUAGAUA